rnacentral:rRNA from 1 species
CCUACGGGAGGCAGCAGUGAGGAAUAUUGGUCAAUGGGAGAGAUCCUGAACCAGCCAAGCCGCGUGAGGGAAGACGGCCCUAUGGGUUGUAAACCUCUUUUGUCGGAGAACAAAACCCGGGACGUGUCCCGGACUGCGUGUAUCCGAAGAAAAAGCAUCGGCUAACUCCGUGCCAGCAGCCGCGGUAAUACGGAGGAUGCGAGCGUUAUCCGGAGUUAUUGGGUUUAAAGGGUGCGUAGGCGGUCCGUUAAGUCAGCGGUAAAAUUGCGGGGCUCAACCCCGUCGAGCCGUUGAAACUGGCAGACUGGAGUGGGCGAGAAGUACGUGGAAUGCGCGGUGUAGCGGUGAAAUGCAUAGAUAUCGCGCAGAACUCCGAUUGCGAAGGCAGCGUACCGGCGCCAGACUGACGCUGAGGCACGAAAGCGUGGGGAUCGAACAGGAUUAGAUACCCUUGUAGUC